rnacentral:tRNA from 1 species
GCCUCGGUGGUGUAGUAGUCAGUACGCUCGGCGCGUAUCCGAGAGGUCCAUGGUUCGAGUCCCCGCUAGGGCA